GAUUAUGGCUCAGAACGAACGCUGGCGGCAGGCUUAACACAUGCAAGUCGAACGCCCCGCAAGGGGAGUGGCAGACGGGUGAGUAACGCGUGGGAAUCUACCUUGAACUACGGGAUAGCUCCGGGAAACUGGAAUUAAUACCGUAUGUGCCCUGAGGGGGAAAGAUUUAUCGGUUCAAGAUGAGCCCGCGUUGGAUUAGCUAGUUGGUGGGGUAAAGGCCUACCAAGGCGACGAUCCAUAGCUGGUCUGAGAGGAUGACCAGCCACAUUGGGACUGAGACACGGCCCAAACUCCUACGGGAGGCAGCAGUGGGGAAUAUUGGACAAUGGGCGCAAGCCUGAUCCAGCCAUGCCGCGUGAGUGAUGAAGGUCUUAGGAUUGUAAAGCUCUUUCACCGGGGACGAUAAUGACGGUACCCGGAGAAGAAGCCCCGGCUAACUUCGUGCCAGCAGCCGC
rnacentral:rRNA from 1 species